GUGAAAAGAACCCCGGGAGGGGAGUGAAAUAGAACCUGAAACCCUGCACUUACAAGCUGUGGAAGCACAUUUCUUGUGUGACCGCGUACUUUUUGUAGAACGGGCCAACGAGUUACGUUAAGUAGCAAGGUUAAGCACUUAAGGUGCGGGGCCGUAGCGAAAGCGAGUUUUAACUGAGCGUUCAGUUACUUGACGUAGACCCGAAACCGGGCGACCUACCCAUGAGCAGGAUGAAGCGAAAGUAAAAUUUCGUGGAGGUCCGAACCCACGAGCGUUG
rnacentral:rRNA from 1 species